UCCGGUUUGUCACCGGCAGUCUCCUUAGAGUGCCCAACUAAAUGCUGGCAACUAAGGACAAGGGUUGCGCUCGUUGCGGGACUUAACCCAACAUCUCACGACACGAGCUGACGACAACCAUGCACCACCUGUCACUCUGUCCCCGAAGGGAAAGUCCUGUCUCCAGGAUUGUCAGAGGAUGUCAAGACCUGGUAAGGUUCUUCGCGUUGCUUCGAAUUAAACCACAUGCUCCACCGCUUGUGCGGGCCCCCGUCAAUUCCUUUGAGUUUCAACCUUGCGGUCGUACUCCCCAGGCGGAGUGCUUAAUGCGUUAACUUCAGCACCAAGGGGCGGAAACCCCCUGACACUUAGCACUCAUCGUUUACGGCGUGGACUAC
rnacentral:misc_RNA from 1 species